GUUACUUAAUCUUGUUUUUUUAUUGUCUAUUUGAUGGCUGCCCACCAUUAAGUGUGAAUUUGAAAAUUAAUUUUUACCUUGACAAAAGAUAUUUUAAUUAAGCUCUUUGAUUAAGUAAUAUGACAUUCGAUUAAUAACAUAAUUUGUGAUUAGAAUAGAAAUAUACCUAAUUAUCCCAUAUAAUUGUUGAGAAGUGAGACCAGCUUAUUACAUAAUUAAUUUAAAAGAAAAUUAUAAGUCAAUGGUCAUUUGUAGCUAAUUAUACUCUAGAUUAACAAAACUAACAUUAAAGCUAAUCAAUUUAAUGAAAGAAGGUUGGAGAAGCUAGCAAGGAAUUGGUGACUAUUGGUUGGUCUUUUUAACAUUUGCUUUAAUUAAUUUGAUAAAGCUUUGUUUUGUUUAUGUUAAUUUCUUUCCACUCAAUUUCAUAAAAUUUUGAUUUACUCAGCUUAAACAAAAAGAGGAUUUUUACUGCCUAAUCAUUGUUAAUUGAGUUCUCUGUGGGAUCGACCUUGAUUUGCCACUAUUUAUUUUUGUGACCCAUAUAAUAUUUGGUAGCGUGAAGUUUUUGAACCAUAAUCUUAAAAGGGCAAAACAAGAUGUACUGACGCAGUUGAAGAUGUUAGAUAUGAUUACUCAAAAAAUAAGUUCCUUAGAUAUAAUGAUCUUUUAAAGAGUAGUAUUUCUCAAGGCGUUGCGCCUCCUCGUUUGCUGCAUAUUCAUAUAUCGUAGGCUUCUGGGGUUUCGGUUUGUAAAGUAACCAUGUCUCGUAAAUGAUAAAUGAUAAAAUAUACAAAUUGCUUGUAAACUUAAAAGGAAUAAUUGAUUUUUAUAUUUAUUUUUGGGAAACUUUUUUUGUUGUUGGACUUAAUGUGCUAUAACUCUAUGCGGUUAGGGCAGGAUUGACUCGACAUUUUACCGGUCAAAAAACAUAAUGGACCCUUGAAUUAUCACUUUACAAUUUGUUUAAUAUUUUACUUUAGAGUUAAUGUUUGGUGCACCGAGGAUACAGAUAGUGAGAGAAUGAUGCACUGUGUUUUAGUCUAUUUGAUGUAUAUUAAUUAUACCUUCUUCUUCUUUGUUGCCAACGUUUAUUAAUUAUAUCAUCAACUUAUUGUUAUAUAUUCUAAUGUUCACAUAAAAUCAAAUUCACUUUUAGAUGGUAAGGCAGAAAAUUCAAGAUAUUAUUGGCAAGUCUCUGGGCAAAAAAAGAUAUUAUUGAUUCUUUUCAAAUACCCUCCAGCGAAGUUGUCAAUAUGGGUACAAAGGAUUUAGUCUCUUCUGCAUAAAGAACAAAUCUAUGCAAUGCACCAUUUCGAUCAUGGCUUCAUCGCAGAAAUUGGAGGACAUUUCAUUAACUUUGUUCAUAGACGAUGAGAAAAAUAAGGUUCUUUAUGCUGAAGUGGGGUUUGACUUUAUCGAUAUUUUAGUUAGCUUCUUCAUGUUGCCCUUGGGAACUAUCUCUAGACUUGUAAGUAAGGACUCUAGUGUACAGGCUUUCAAAUUUAACUGUAUUUCCUCACUGCGGUGAAGUGUAGAAAAUCUGGACCCAACGUAUUUUAUUAAAGAUUGGAAUAACGGAAAGUUCCUAAAUCCAAUCAACUUAAUGGGAUAUUAUGGAUCUCGAUAUGACUUUGAUGAUGAAGAGCUCUCAGUUUUUUAAUGGCUAUAUUGGCGGUCGGUUGCCAAUAUUUUGGUUAGUUUGUGAUGAUCUAACAGUGAUGCCUAGUGAUAUAAAUACCUUGUGGAUAAUACAGAAUUUUGGGGUUGCGUAUGUUCCCAAGAGA